rnacentral:tRNA from 2 species
UGUGACGUAGCGCAAAUGGAGAGAGCAACAGUCUUCUAAGCUGUGUGUAUGGGUUCGAGUCCCUUCGUCACAA